rnacentral:rRNA from 1 species
GGACGGGUGAGUAACGCGUGGGUAACCUACCCCAAAGUCCGGGAUAACAGCGGGAAACCGCUGCUAAUACCGGAUGUCUUUACCUUGGGGCAUCUUGAGGUAAAGAAAGGUAACGCUUUGGGAUGGGCCCGCGUCCCAUUAGCUAGUUGGUGAGGUAACGGCUCACCAAGGCGACGAUGGGUAGCCGGCCUGAGAGGGUGGACGGCCACACUGGGACUGAGACACGGCCCAGACUCCUACGGGAGGCAGCAGUAGGGAAUAUUGCGCAAUGGACGGAAGUCUGACGCAGCGACGCCGCGUGAGCGAUGAAGGUCUUCGGAUCGUAAAGCUCUGUCCUUGGGGAAGAAGGCGAAAGCUUGACGGUACCCAAGAAGAAAGCCCCGGCUAACUACGUGCCAGCAGCCGCGGUAAUACGUAGGGGGCGAGCGUUGUCCGGAAUUACUGGGCGUAAAG